UACGUAGGGGGCAAGCGUUGUCCGGAUUUAUUGGGCGUAAAGAGCGUGUAGGCGGCCUGAUAGGUCGGCUGUGAAAACUCGAGGCUCAACCUCGAGACGUCGGUUGAAACCAUCUGGCUAGAGUCCGGAAGAGGAGUGUGGAAUUCCCGGUGUAGCGGUGAAAUGCGCAGAUAUCGGGAAGAACACCCGUGGCGAAGGCGGCACUCUGGGACGGUACUGACGCUGAGACGCGAAAGCGUGGGGAGCGAACAGG
rnacentral:rRNA from 1 species